CGGGCGCUACCACCUGUGGAGCGCACCGGAGGCUACUUUAAAUUUAAUUACAUCCAGGCCGCUUGGAUCUCCAGGGACCGAGACGGGUGC
rnacentral:ncRNA from 1 species